AUACGAAGGUCCCGAGCGUUAUUCGGAAUCACUGGGCGUAAAGAGUAUGUAGGCGGUUUGGUAAGUCAGGUGUGAAAUCCCGGAGCUCAACUUCGGAACUGCAUCCGAUACUGCCAGACUAGAGUAAUGGAGAGGCAGGUGGAAUUCUCGGUGUAGCAGUGAAAUGCGUGGAUAUCGAGAGGAAGACCAAUGGCGAAGGCAGCCUGCUGGACAUUUACUGACGCUGAGAUACGAAGGCUAGGGGAGCGAAAGGGAUUAGAUACCCCGGUAGUCC
rnacentral:rRNA from 1 species